UUGCUUCAACAGCACAUAUUCUAAAAUUGAAGUAAUAUAGAGUAGAAUAGCAUAGCCACUGUGCAAGGAUGACAUGCAAAUUCAUGAAGUGUUUCAUAUUUUU